GCGGGAGUAGCUUAGUUGGCAAAGCAUCUGCCUUCCAAGCAGAGGAUCGCGAGUUCGAAUCUCGUCUCCCGCUCCA
rnacentral:tRNA from 2 species